rnacentral:rRNA from 1 species
AUACGGAGGGUGCAAGCGUUAUCCGGAUUUAUUGGGUUUAAAGGGUCCGUAGGCGGAUCUGUAAGUCAGUGGUGAAAUCUCAUAGCUUAACUAUGAAACUGCCAUUGAUACUGCAGGUCUUGAGUAAGGUAGAAGUAGCUGGAAUGAGUAGUGUAGCGGUGAAAUGCAUAGAUAUUACUUAGAACACCAAUUGCGAAGGCAGGUUACUAUGUCUUAACUGACGCUGAUGGACGAAAGCGUGGGGAGCGAACAGGAUUAGAAACCCUAGUAGUCC